GGGACACGUGGUAUCCUGUCUGAAUAUGGGGGGACCAUCCUCCAAGGCUAAAUACUCCUGACUGACCGAUAGUGAACCAGUACCGUGAGGGAAAGGCGAAAAGAACCCCGGCGAGGGGAGUGAAAAAGAACCUGAAACCGUGUACGUACAAGCAGUGGGAGCCUCUUUAUGGGGUGACUGCGUACCUUUUGUAUAAUGGGUCAGCGACUUAUAUUCUGUAGCAAGGUUAACCGAAUAGGGGAGCCGAAGGGAAACCGAGUCUUAACUGGGCGUUAAGUUGCAGGGUAUAGACCCGAAACCCGGUGAUCUAGCCAUGGGCAGGUUGAAGGUUGGGUAACACUAACUGGAGGACCGAACCGACUAAUGUUGAAAAAUUAGCGGAUGACUUGUGGCUGGGGGUGAAAGGCCAAUCAAACCGGGAGAUAGCUGGUUCUCCCCGAAAGCUAUUUAGGUAGCGCCUCGUGAAUUCAUCUCCGGGGGUAGAGCACUGUUUCGGCAAGGGGGUCAUCCCGACUUACCAACCCGAUGCAAACUGCGAAUACCGGAGAAUGUUAUCACGGGAGACACACGGCGGGUGCUAACGUCCGUCGUGAAGAGGGAAACAACCCAGACCGCCAGCUAAGGUCCCAAAGUCAUGGUUAAGUGGGAAACGAUGUGGGAAGGCCCAGACAGCCAGGAUGUUGGCUUAGAAGCAGCCAUCAUUUAAAGAAAGCGUAAUAGCUCACUGGUCGAGUCGGCCUGCGCGGAAGAUGUAACGGGGCUAAACCAUGCACCGAAGCUGCGGCAGCGACACUAAGUGUUGUUGGGUAGGGGAGCGUUCUGUAAGCCUGUGAAGGUGUACUGUGAGGUAUGCUGGAGGUAUCAGAAGUGCGAAUGCUGACAUAAGUAACGAUAAAGCGGGUGAAAAGCCCGCUCGCCGGAAGACCAAGGGUUCCUGUCCAACGUUAAUCGGGGCAGGGUGAGUCGACCCCUAAGGCGAGGCCGAAAGGCGUAGUCGAUGGGAAACAGGUUAAUAUUCCUGUACUUGGUGUUACUGCGAAGGGGGGACGGAGAAGGCUAUGUUGGCCGGGCGACGGUUGUCCCGGUUUAAGCGUGUAGGCUGGUUUUCCAGGCAAAUCCGGAAAAUCAAGGCUGAGGCGUGAUGACGAGGCACUACGGUGCUGAAGCAACAAAUGCCCUGCUUCCAGGAAAAGCCUCUAAGCAUCAGGUAACAUCAAAUCGUACCCCAAACCGACACAGGUGGUCAGGUAGAGAAUACCAAGGCGCUUGAGAGAACUCGGGUGAAGGAACUAGGCAAAAUGGUGCCGUAACUUCGGGAGAAGGCACGCUGAUAUGUAGGUGAAGCGACUUGCUCGUGGAGCUGAAAUCAGUCGAAGAUACCAGCUGGCUGCAACUGUUUAUUAAAAACACAGCACUGUGCAAACACGAAAGUGGACGUAUACGGUGUGACGCCUGCCCGGUGCCGGAAGGUUAAUUGAUGGGGUUAGCGCAAGCGAAGCUCUUGAUCGAAGCCCCGGUAAACGGCGGCCGUAACUAUAACGGUCCUAAGGUAGCGAAAUUCCUUGUCGGGUAAGUUCCGACCUGCACGAAUGGCGUAAUGAUGGCCAGGCUGUCUCCACCCGAGACUCAGUGAAAUUGAACUCGCUGUGAAGAUGCAGUGUACCCGCGGCAAGACGGAAAGACCCCGUGAACCUUUACUAUAGCUUGACACUGAACAUUGAGCCUUGAUGUGUAGGAUAGGUGGGAGGCUUUGAAGUGUGGACGCCAGUCUGCAUGGAGCCGACCUUGAAAUACCACCCUUUAAUGUUUGAUG
rnacentral:rRNA from 1 species